rnacentral:rRNA from 1 species
UACGGAGGGAGCUAGCGUUGUUCGGAAUUACUGGGCGUAAAGCGCACGUAGGCGGCUAUUCAAGUCUGAGGUGAAAGCCUGGUGCUCAACAUCAGAACUGCCUUUGAAACUAGAUAGCUUGAAUCCAGGAGAGGUGAGUGGAAUUCCGAGUGUAGAGGUGAAAUUCGUAGAGAUUCGGAAGAACACCAGUGGCGAAGGCGGCUCACUGGACUAGUACUGACGCUGAGGUGCGAAAGCGUGGGGAGCAAACAGG